rnacentral:rRNA from 1 species
AGGACGAACGCUGGCGGCGUGCUUAACACAUGCAAGUCGAACGGAGAUUCAGCAAUGGAUCUUAGUGGCGAACGGGUGAGUAACGCGUAGGCAAUCUGCCUUCUAGAUGGGGACAACAUCCCGAAAGGGGUGCUAAUACCGAAUGUUGUACCGUUUCCGCAUGGAGAUGAUACUAAAGGUGGCCUCUGAAUAUGCUACCGCUAGAAGAUGAGCCUGCGUCUGAUUAGCUAGUUGGAGGGGUAACGGCCCACCAAGGCUUCGAUCAGUAGCCGGUCUGAGAGGAUGAACGGCCACACUGGGACUGAGACACGGCCCAGACUCCUACGGGAGGCAGCAGUGGGGAAUCUUCCGCAAUGGACGAAAGUCUGACGGAGCAACGCCGCGUGAGUGAAGAAGGUUUUCGGAUCGUAAAGCUCUUUCGUUAGGGACGAACGUGCUCUUUGUGAAUAAUGAGGAGUAA